GGCAGACAUUACAGGAAAUAACUUGCUUCUUCUUUGGGGGAAUGGACACUCCAAACGUAUGGUUUAUGACUGCUUUUUGCACAGGAUCCAUUGUGUUAAAAUUUGGGAAGAAUCCAACAGCAGAGCUGCUGUCCACAGGGAAGGACAUAAAGGGUUUGAUAUCCAGGGAAGGCUGCAUCAUCAAGGUAGGUGCACGCACAAGGGUGGGAAGUGCAGUAGUGCCUUACUUUCUCUCCAG
rnacentral:lncRNA from 1 species